AGCGAACGUUAGCGGCAGGCUUAACACAUGCAAGUCGAGCGAGAAAGAGGGGCAACCCUUGAGUAAAGCGGCGGACGGGUGCGUAACACGUGGAUAAUCUGCCUUCUGGCGGGGAAUAACAGUCCGAAAGGAUUGCUAAUGCCGCAUGUGUCUGCGUGGUUUCCGAACUGGGCAGAGAAAGAGGGCGCCCGCAAGGGGCUCUCACCAGAAGAUGAGUCCGCGUCCCAUCAGCUAGUUGGCGGGGUAAUGGCCCACCAAGGCAGAGACGGGUAGCUGGUCUGAGAGGAUGACCAGCCACACUGGGACUGAGACACGGCCCAGACUCCUACGGGAGGCAGCAGUGGGGAAUAUUGGGCAAUGGGCGCAAGCCUGACCCAGCCAUGCCGCGUGAGUGAUGAAGGUCUUCGGAUCGUAAAGCUCUGUGGGAAGGGACGAAAAACCGGGGGUUAAUACCCCCCGGCUUGACGGUACUUUCUUAGCAAGCACCGGCUAACUCCGUGGCAGCCGCCGCAGUAAUAC
rnacentral:rRNA from 1 species